UCGGGAGAAGAUGAAUUGUUCUUUUAGAAAAAUUUCCAAAAGUUCUGUGAGGUGAAUUAUUGUGAACCUCGUCCGCCUUUCAAUUCGAGUAAUCAAAAUUUGAAAAUCCCGAGUUGGCAGGGUUCUUGUCGUUCUGUGUGUUUGCCAAAAGCCAAUAAAAAUAUAUCACAAAGUUUCGAAAGAAGGAAAAUUAAUUGCGGAAAUUUCAACAGGAAAAUAAUGUUUUUUUUUGUGGUGCAUAGAUUGAUUGUGAACAAUCGAAAAUUGAAAAGUGGAAAAAUUUUCAUGAAGUGAAAGCAAAAGAGAAAAUUCUUGUUGGUACCAAAGGAAAAAGUUUUCAGGCAACCUGUUGGCGUGGUUCACUGCUAACCGUACGCAACGCAGUUCAUGGAAAACCAGCCCUAGAAGAAAACACGAACGUUUAAAGUGAUUUUGGAGGGAAAAUUCGGUCGAGUUUUGGUGUCUCGAGGAAAAUUGACAUUCGUUCUGGACGAUCUAAAUUGUUAAAUUUCGAAAUAAUCUUCUAGAAUUUCAACGGAAAACUGAUUAGAAGCGACGAGAUCAGGAAUAAAUGAUUACUUGCUCAAUAGAAAGGAAAUUUAAGAAUAUUUGAAAAUUUAUUCGAUAUUUUGAAUUAAUAGAGGAUCAAAUAUAUGCAAUUAGUACUUUAGUGGUUUAACUAUUUUAUCGAGAGACAGAAAUAAAGCAACAACAAAUUCACGCCACGCCGACCUCGAAGUGUAAUCAACGUGUUGGUGUUUGAAGUUUUGAAGGAUAUACUUCCUUAACUUUUUUAACCCCCUUUCUGAGCCUUUUUCUAAUCUUAACUGAUGAUGAAAAAUUUCGUUACCCUUUCUCGGCGCUUCCAAUUGAAAAAUCGAAAAAGGUAGAAGGAGGAGGAGGAGAGGAAUGCAUGAAAGGAUUACAAAAUUGUCUAUACUUAAAGUUUGCUUGUACUCUAAUCCAAUCCUACUUUA